ACUACGGGAGGCAGCAGUGGGGAAUAUUGGGCAAUGGGCGCAAGCCUGGCCCAGCAACGCCGCGUGAAGGAAGAAGGCUUUCGGGUUGUAAACUUCUUUUCUCAGGGACGAAGCAAGUGACGGUACCUGAGGAAUAAGCCACGGCUAACUACGUGCCAGCAGCCGCGGUAAUACGUAGGUGGCAAGCGUUAUCCGGAUUUACUGGGUGUAAAGGGCGUGUAGGCGGGAAAGCAAGUCAGAUGUGAAAACCAUGGGCUCAACCUGUGGCCUGCAUUUGAAACUGUUUUUCUUGAGUACUGGAGAGGCAGACGGAAUUCCUAGUGUAGCGGUGAAAUGCGUAGAUAUUAGGAGGAACACCAGUGGCGAAGGCGGUCUGCUGGACAGCAACUGACGCUGAGGCGCGAAAGCGUGGGGAGCAAACAGGAUUAGAUACCCUUGUAGUC
rnacentral:rRNA from 1 species